rnacentral:rRNA from 1 species
GAGCUUGCUCCUGGAUUCAGCGGCGGACGGGUGAGUAAUGCCUAGGAAUCUGCCUGGUAGUGGGGGACAACGUUUCGAAAGGAACGCUAAUACCGCAUACGUCCUACGGGAGAAAGCAGGGGACCUUCGGGCCUUGCGCUAUCAGAUGAGCCUAGGUCGGAUUAGCUAGUUGGUGAGGUAAUGGCUCACCAAGGCGACGAUCCGUAACUGGUCUGAGAGGAUGAUCAGUCACACUGGAACUGAGACACGGUCCAGACUCCUACGGGAGGCAGCAGUGGGGAAUAUUGGACAAUGGGCGAAAGCCUGAUCCAGCCAUGCCGCGUGUGUGAAGAAGGUCUUCGGAUUGUAAAGCACUUUAAGUUGGGAGGAAGGGUUGUAGAUUAAUACUCUGCAAUUUUGACGUUACCGACAGAAUAAGCACCGGCUAACUCUGUGCCAGCAGCCGCGGUAAUACAGAGGGUGCAAGCGUUAAUCGGAAUUACUGGGCGUAAAGCGCGCGUAGGUGGUUUGUUAAGUUGGAUGUGAAAUCCCCGGGCUCAACCUGGGAACUGCAUCCAAAACUGGCAAGCUAGAGUAUGGUAGAGGGUGGUGGAAUUUCCUGUGUAUCGGUGAAA